AUGGGGGAAGCCCUGAUGCAGCGACGCCGCGUGAGCGAUGAAGCCCUUCGGGGUGUAAAGCUCUUUCGGCAGGGAAGAUAGUGACGGUACCUGCAGAAGCAGCUGCGGCUAACUACGUGCCAGCAGCCGCGGUAAUACGUAGGCAGCGAGCGUUGUUCGGAGUUACUGGGCGUAAAGGGUGUGUAGGCGGUUGUUUGAGUUUGGUGUGAAAUCUCCCGGCUCAACUGGGAGGGUGCGCCGAAUACUGAGCGACUAGAGUGCGGGAGAGGAAAGUGGAAUUCCUGGUGUAGCGGUGAAAUGCGUAGAUAUCAGGAGGAACACCGGUGGUGUAGACGGCUUUCUGGACCGUAACUGACGCUGAGACACGAAAGCGUGGGCAGCAAACAGGAUUAGAUACCCUGGUAGUCCACGCCCUAAACGAUGCAUAUUUGGUGUGGGCAGUUCAUUCUGUCCGUGCCGGAGCUAACGCGUUAAAUAUGCCGCCUGGGGAGUACAGUCGCAAG
rnacentral:rRNA from 1 species